rnacentral:rRNA from 1 species
AUUGAACGCUGGCGGCAUGCCUUACACAUGCAAGUCGAACGGUAACAGGUCUUCGGAUGCUGACGAGUGGCGAACGGGUGAGUAAUACAUCGGAACGUGCCUAGUAGUGGGGGAUAACUACUCGAAAGAGUGGCUAAUACCGCAUGAGAUCUACGGAUGAAAGCAGGGGAUCGCAAGACCUUGUGCUUCUAGAGCGGCCGAUGGCAGAUUAGGUAGUUGGUGGGAUAAAAGCUUACCAAGCCGACGAUCUGUAGCUGGUCUGAGAGGACGAUCAGCCACACUGGGACUGAGACACGGCCCAGACUCCUACGGGAGGCAGCAGUGGGGAAUUUUGGACAAUGGGCGCAAGCCUGAUCCAGCAAUGCCGCGUGCAGGAUGAAGGCCUUCGGGUUGUAAACUGCUUUUGUACGGAACGAAAAGCCCCGGGUUAAUACCCUGGGGUCACGACGGUACCGUAAGAAUAAGCACCGGCUAACUACGUGCCAGCCGCCGCAGUAA